rnacentral:rRNA from 1 species
UACGUAGGGGGCAAGCGUUGUCCGGAAUCAUUGGGCGUAAAGAGCGCGUAGGCGGCCCAGUCAGUCCGCUCUGAAAGUCAGGGGCUCAACCCCUGAAUGCGGGUGGAUACUGCUGGGCUAGAGUGCGGAAGGGGCAACUGGAAUUCUUGGUGUAGCGGUGAAAUGCGUAGAUAUCAAGAGGAACACCUGCGGCGAAGGCGGGUUGCUGGGCCGACACUGACGCUGAGGCGCGAAAGCCAGGGGAGCGAACGGG